AUUGAAUUAGUUUAUUAAAAAUAAGAAAUUGUGGAUUUCUAGAAUCAAAUUUGAAUUUAAUU
rnacentral:tRNA from 2 species